UACGUAGGGGGCAAGCGUUGUCCGGAUUUAUUGGGCGUAAAGAGCGUGUAGGCGGCUGGGUAGGUCCGUUGUGAAAACUCGAGGCUCAACCUCGAGACGCCGAUGGAAACCCUCCAGCUAGAGUCCGGAAGAGGAGAGUGGAAUUCCUGGUGUAGCGGUGAAAUGCGCAGAUAUCGGGAAGAACACCGGUGGCGAAGGCGGUUCUCUGGGCCUUACCUGACACUGAGGAGCGAAAGCGUGGGGAGCGAACAGG
rnacentral:rRNA from 1 species